AUUGAACGCUGGCGGCAGGCCUAACACAUGCAAGUCGAGCGGAUGAAGGGAGCUUGCUCCUGGAUUCAGCGGCGGACGGGUGAGUAAUGCCUAGGAAUCUGCCUGGUAGUGGGGGAUAACGUCCGGAAACGGGCGCUAAUACCGCAUACGUCCUGAGGGAGAAAGUGGGGGAUCUUCGGACCUCACGCUAUCAGAUGAGCCUAGGUCGGAUUAGCUAGUUGGUGGGGUAAAAGCCUACCAAGGCGACGAUCCGUAACUGGUCUGAGAGGAUGAUCAGUCACACUGGAACUGAGACACGGUCCAGACUCCUACGGGAGGCAGCAGUGGGGAAUAUUGGACAAUGGGCGAAAGCCUGAUCCAGCCAUGCCGCGUGUGUGAAGAAGGUCUUCGGAUUGUAAAGCACUUUAAGUUGGGAGGAAGGGCAGUAAGUUAAUACCUUGCUGUUUUGACGUUACCAACAGAAUAAGCACCGGCUAACUUCGUG
rnacentral:rRNA from 1 species